CCUACGGGAGGCAGCAGUGGGGAAUUUUGGACAAUGGGCGCAAGUCUGAUCCAGCUAUUCCGCGUGUGGGAUGACGGCCCUCGGGUUGUAAACCACUUUAGUAGAGAACGAAAAGGAGCUAUCGAAUAAAUAGCUCUGCUGACGUUACUCUAAGAAUAAGCACCGGCUAACUACGUGCCAGAAGCCGCGGUAAUACGUAGGGUGCGAGCGUUAAUGGGAAUUACUGGGCGUAAAGGGUGUGCAGGCGGCUGAGUAAGACAGAUGUGGAAGCCCCGGGCUUAACCUGGGAACCGGAUAUGUGAUUGCUUGGCGAGAGGGAGUCAGAGGGAGGUGGAAUUCGACGGGUAGCAGUGAAAUGCGUAGAUAUGUGGAAGAACACCGAUGGCGAAGGCAGCUUCCUGGGACGCAACUGACGCUCAUACACGAAAGCGUGGGGAGCAAACAGGAUUAGAUACCCGGGUAGUC
rnacentral:rRNA from 1 species